CAGCCAUCCACGUCUCAUGCUGCAAUGCCAUCACAAUCUGUAACAAAUGAAACUGAAACAUAAAGGAAACCGAGGCUGGUGCAGAGCGCGCACCGCCCCGCAGAAUGGCCGUGUCGACGCAAAAACACUCAACAUUAUCUUUUAUAUUAGAUUUUAAGGUUUAUUACUUAUGUCUACUUAAUAAUGAUAAUUGAUUAUAACCUAUGUUAUUACCAAUGAAA